AUAGAAAGUAAUGACUUCAGAAAUAAGUAUUCCAGUAGCAUGUCUGAUUCUGCCUAUGCUUGAAGAUGCAACCCAAAUUAGAUGGUUGAACCAAGGUUUAUAUUCACUUCAAAUUUAUCAGCACAAGUACAAGCAAAAGCAAAGUUUAAACUCAAAGCCAGAGCCGAAACCAAACUAUUAAGCUUUCACAGGUUCAAACCCUUUGAAGUCCAACAACCAUGCAAAAGGUGGUUCCAGGGUUUCAGUGAUUCCAACAUUUGGCAGAAAAUAAUGACAAGAAAC
rnacentral:lncRNA from 1 species